rnacentral:rRNA from 1 species
GAUGAACGCUGGCGGCGUGCCUAAUACAUGCAAGUCGAGCGAACUGAUUAGAAGCUUGCUUCUAUGACGUUAGCGGCGGACGGGUGAGUAACACGUGGGCAACCUGCCUGUAAGACUGGGAUAACUUCGGGAAACCGAAGCUAAUACCGGAUAGGAUCUUCUCCUUCAUGGGAGAUGAUUGAAAGAUGGUUUCGGCUAUCACGUACAGAUGGGCCCGCGGUGCAUUAGCUAGUUGGUGAGGUAACGGCUCACCAAGGCAACGAUGGAUAGCCGAACUGAGAGGGUGAUCGGCCACACUGGGACGGAGACACGGCCCAGACUCCUACGGGAGGCAGCAGUAGGGAAUCUUCCGCAAUGGACGAAAGUCUGACGGAGCAACGCCGCGUGAGUGAUGAAGGCUUUCGGGUCGUAAAACUCUGUUGUUAGGGAAGAACAAGUACGAGAGUAACUGCUCGUACCUUGACGGUACCUAACCAGAAAGCCACGGCUAACUACGUGCCAGCCGCCGCGGUAAGAC